GCGCACGACAAAGUCUGACUUUAACACAAAUCCGCGCAAAUAUAUAAAAGAGAAUCCAAUGUUUUUUCUCAAAUCCUCUGCAUUGCGUUUCUUCGGGCAUUGUUGACUUUACAUUUACAAGUCUCUCCGGAUCGCCACCGUUUCAACCAUGACUCGUGGAAGUCAGAGAGAGCGUGACCGUGAAAGAGCCGCGGCUCGUGCUGGAGGUAAGGGUAAGAACGCUGACGAUGGUCUGACCCCUGAGCAACGUCGUGAAAGAGAUGGGAAAGCAUUGCAAGAGAAGGCGGCUAAGAAAGCUGCUCAAGCUGCAGGUGCGAGUUCUGGUGGUGGAGCUGGAGGCAAAGCAGCUGCUAAGAAGUGAUUAUAAUCCUUUGGUUUGUCUAUUGAGCCAUAUUGUAGACUUUUUUAUGUUUUGAAAUUUGGGUCAUUUAGAUCUGAGCUUUGACUCUUGUCUGAAUUCCCAUUUAUGCUGUCUCUCUGUGUUGAAAUUGCAAGUUGAUGCUUAUGGUGAAAUCUUAUUUGAUCUUUAUUUGAUCUGGUAUUAUGAAGUA